rnacentral:lncRNA from 1 species
UUUUGGGAGGUAAUCGGCUCAUGGGGGCAUGAUACUUAUCAGUGGAUUAGUUCACUGAUGACUUUAUAUCUAAGUGUGAAGUUGAGGUGAAGCCUGGUGGGAGCAGGUGGGUUACUGAGGUUUUGGUUUACAAGCAUCUACCUCCAUCCUCCUCCCUUGAUCACUCUCUGCUUCCUGCAGCCUGCCUUGAAGAUUUUUUUCCUCUGCCAUGCCAACCUGCCUUGGAACCAGUUGCACUGGAACCAGGAAGCAGCACUCAGAGCUUUGGGGAGCUAUUGCAGCUGUAAUUCUGUACCAUCCUUGGUUCGUGAACAAGACAUUAAAAUUUGUAUCCUGAG